rnacentral:tRNA from 1 species
GGUAGGUUAGCUCAGCAGGUUAGAGCACCGUCCUGGUAAUGCUGAGGUCAUUGGUUCAAACCCGUACUGGUCA